rnacentral:rRNA from 1 species
GACGUAGGGCGCGAGCGUUGUCCGGAUUUAUUGGGCGUAAAGAGCUCGUAGGUGGUUCGGUAAGUCGGAUGUGAAAUCUCCAGGCUCAACCUGGAGGGGUCAUUCGAUACUGCCGUGACUAGAGUUCGGUAGGGGAGUGUGGAAUUCCUGGUGGAGCGGUGAAAUGCGCAGAUAUCAGGAGGAACACCCGUAGCGAAGGCGGCACUCUGGGCCGAUACUGACACUGAGGAGCGAAAGCGUGGGGAGCAAACAGG